CUAGGCAGCAAGGGCUAACAGGAAUAGUCUCUAAUCAAUACCAAAGUAAAGAAGUAACAAUAAAACAGAAAGGACAUUGGGAACUAUGUUCUCUAGUCUUAGCUCUGCCUCCAGUUAAUUGUGUGGGUUCAGCAGAAACUUGAUCAUGUGGGCUCCCUGCUCAAAAUCUGUCAGGCUCCUAUUGUCUACUGCCAAAAGAACAAUUCAAGUUCCUCAUGCUUGAAGCUCUUCAUGUGGCCCAGCUCCUCCCUCACUACCGCCACCUCUUCCUGUCUAGAACCCUGUCUGAUCACACUGACCACGAGUCCUUACUGAGAUGCCAUUCCCCUUCUCCCUCGGGAUGCUCGUCUCCUAAAUGGCAGGGGCUGAGUAAAGCUGUUUUGUGCAGGUUGCA